AUUUGCCUCCUCCCAGAAUUCAGGUAAAGAAAUGACAUUGCUCUAUUGUUAAUACUUUAUACAGUUAUCAUUUAUUGAUUCUCUAGAUUUUUCAAAGUAGUUACUAUUAGUUUAAAAUUGCUUGAUGGAUAAGGAUAGGAGUCACGGUUACUAGAUGCAAACUCUGAACUUCAGAGUUGAAGUAAAAUUUUUUAUGUCACUCAAUUUAAAAUGUUGAUCCAUAUGUCUUUUCUUAAGUUCCCCUUGUGUCUAUUCUAGAUAAAUGAUCUUAUAACUUUUACAUUCAGG
rnacentral:misc_RNA from 1 species